rnacentral:lncRNA from 1 species
CACAGUAUAAGAUCCUAAUGUUGAGUUUAAGGAGAUUAAAUCCCACAAUAAAAAAUAUAAAAUUAAAAUAGUAAUAAAAAGAGUGAAAGGUAAGGGUGGAAGUACCGCAGUAUUUGAAGGUAACCUUAGCUUGAGCGAGAAAAGAAGAGAGGAAGAGGAUUGAGAAGGAUAGAAUAAGGUAGAGGUUGGGAAGAGAGUGAAAUGCCAUCGAUUGCACGAAGAUGAAGAAGAAGAAGAAGAACAACGGAGAGAGUUUAUGCUAACUGUUCUUACUAAACUCCAACACCAAACAUACACAUAGUCAAAUAAGAAUAUUAAUAAUUAUUUCAAAGUUAAACAAUGUGAGGAUGGGAGAAUAAGACUAGUCUCAGUCUCUUAUUAUUAAUUUGAGUAUUUAAUAAGUAAUUAAUCUCUAGGCAUUGUUCUGAAUUAAAAAUUUGACAUUUUGAUACUAUAAAUUGUUCUCAUAAAUUGCCAUUUUUGUUUAACUCUUUCCCAAUAGGCUACAACAAGUUCUAAUAAUUAUUUGGUUCAGGUUGGUUUCCCUCCACGUGUAAAACCAUUGCCUAUAUGAAGCAUAAUAAUAAAUCUAGACAAAAAAUCAAAUGAAAUUAUCUGACAUAAAUUACCAUUAUUAAUCCAUUUUCUACAAAAAGAAAGUAGGUUGAGGUAAUAAGUAACUUCUACUUCUUAAGUCAAGGAGACUUUUGGUUGUUUAGAUGUUAUGAUCAUCUUAAGGUAGAUUCACAACAAUUCCAAGAAAAACCUAUAAUUGCAAUAAGAAAAGUUCAAAUCCUAAAAUAAAAUACUAUAUAACAUUGUGCUCUCUGAUUGUUUCACUAUUUUUUAAAAAGAAUUAACCAUGUGAUGACUAUUGAAGAGAUGUUAAUAUCAUAAUUGUGGUAAUUUUGAUAAGAAUCUUCAUUUUUUUAAUAUGUUAAGACUACCUAUUAUAAAUAUAUAUAAUCACAUAUUACAAUUAUCAUUUCAUAACAAUCAUAAGGUCACAGAUCUAUCAAUUGUUUGAUAAUUUUCAAAGUAAACAUAAUCUUUAGUUUGUAAUUGGGCCUCUAAACCUAAAAAUUGUUCAUAAUUGAGUCAUUGUAUAAGGGUUCAAUAUUAGGGUAAGAUUUCAAAUGUUGAACUUUACACAUUAAUGUUGACCUAUAAUUUCUCAUCCAAGUACUUUUUUUCCAAAAACCUUCUGAAAUCCCAAGGGAAGUCACAUUUGAUGACCUUUCAAUUUACAUCUUAAAGAUUAAUUUUUCAAGUGUCAACCUUUUCUUAUUCAGUUUAUACAAUCAUAUACAAAUUAUAAUUCUAAUCUGAAUUCAUAAAAAGGUUUUCUGUCAUUGACACAACAUAUGUUUAUGUCAUUGAUAUGACUGUUCAUGUUCAUUUUUAUUCCAAAGAUUACUUUUGAAAGAUGACACACAACAUACUUUACAAUAACACAGUCAUACAACGAAGCAAAGUAGGCACCAGAUGAAGAUCAACCGUGGAAAUGACACUUCAGAUAUCAGACACUAAUGAUCCAAAAACAAUUUUGAAAUUAAACUUGAUGCAAGUUAACAACUCGCCAUUGUCAUCCUUCAGCGUCAUCUUCAAAGCAUAGGGUCCCUGCAAAAAACAAAUAUUAAGAUGGAAUCAAGGAUAUGUACUUAACCAAAACAAAAAUUGUUCUCAGAUACAAGAAUGAUUGAAACAAGAAAACACAGUUCAGGAAAAUUUUAUAUCAUGACUAUAAGCCCAAAGGCUUCUGUAUGACAUGUGGCGGCAAUAAGCAUAUAUUGCAGGAUUUUUCUUAGAUAUCAGAGUUUAAAUGCCUCUUGAUAAUCAACUGUAAGAAUUAUCAAACCAAUUGUAAAUGGCUAAUAAAAUGGCUAGAGAUUAACACUUCUAGCUUAGCUUCAUGAAAUUCCAUAACAGGAUUCCGAACCAUAAAAAGAACGGUAGAUGGAAGCAUGAAUACCUGAUAAUAACUUAAAAAGGUAAUUCAAGUAUAAUCAAGUGUAAAUGUAUCACAAAAAAGGGGUGUUCAAGAAUUUAAUAUUGAUUUAACGUCUAAGAAGAAAAUUGUAAAACAAGGUUGAAGAGGUAGGGUCUACUACAUAGAUCAAUCUACAGCAUAUAUCAAGUAAAAAUGACAUGAAACUGAAUCAACAACAUUAACCAACCCUUACUCGGCAUUAAUCAAUGCAACUGGAUUUAAAAAACAAUUCUUUUAGUAAAACCGUUCAAAAGAAAAGGUCAUUUAUACUGGUUUCUCCUAAGAUUUAAUAGGUCUUCCCUUACCACUCUUAAUAGAACUAUUUUAAGCUUUUAAGUUUAGGAGAGUUGUUUUGUUCAUGACAUGAUGUCAGAGCCUCAGUGACCAUGAGUUCAAUCCUUAUGGCCUCCAUUAUUCCAAUAAAAAAGUUGAAUUUCAACAUGUGGUAAAAUGAGAUUGUGCAUUAUCUACACUGCAUUAUCUACCGGAUGCAUCUUGCCACCAAGAUUUGGUAAUUAGCAUCAGGAAAACUCAGCACCACAGUAAAGUGUGCAGCAAAGGCAAACAACUUAGUGAAAAAGAAAGGGGGUUACAGAUGAUAUGAUUGGUCGACUCAAAGCCCACCCCCAAGAAGGGUGGGGUGUAAAGAAGGUUUAUUUCAUGAUAGGAUAUAUUUAGAAUGUCUUUAGCAUUGCUAAGAGUCUGUACUUGACAAGAGAAACUAACCGGUGGAGUAAUUGAAGGCAAUGUUUGGGAGUGAGAAAUCACAAAAUUGCCAUUAGAAACGGGACAGGUUACUUCCUGACAUAGAUCAAUUCUUUCAGUGUGGACAGGCACCCCAAUGUAUGAAACUCCGAUUACCACCUCCCCACCAGAAAUAGCUUUUCCUGCAUAUAAGAUAGACAUAAACUCCAUUUAUAAUUUGUUAAAGCAAAUAAGUGAAACACUAAAUGAUGAAGCAAUAAGGAACAAAUACAGUACUAGGAUCAAUGUAUAUGAGAACCAAAAUAUUGUGAAUAGAUGGAUUAUUAUGUUCAUAAAGUUCAUUAGUACAAAAAAUAAAUAAAAAAAACAACAAUCAAAUGUAAGGUGGUCAACUAAAACAAUGUAAUUAUGCAUGUACAGUAAUCAUUAGUCACCACAUCAGACUACUAUCAUGCAUUUAAAAUAAGAGAAUAUAAGUUAUCUCCUUCUAGUGAAAGCAGGACAUAUGUCCUAUUUCAUCAUUUUCUAUAAAAAUAUUUCUAAAACAAAACAAAAUAAUACACAUGUCAUACUUGUAUUGACCAGAUGAGAUAAGUUAUUUCAUUGUAUGAGGAGUUUAUUGUCUUAAAAUAAAGGGUGAAAAAUGAAAAAUAAAUAGAAAAAGUAGAUUAAAAAAUGGAGAGAUUACCCGAAGAAGCUGAGAUCUUGAAGUUAGCCGGGUUACCACUGACAACAGGAUUUGGUGAUAUUUCAAUUCCAGACACUUUCACAUCAUAAUUUCCCUUCUUAUCUGCAUAUACAUUUUUUUAGCAAACAAAUAAAUAGACAAAAAAUUACCAAAAUCUAAAUCAAAUCUGAACAAACAUGACCCCAGCUUCCAGCACUGAAGCACACACAUGACACCACAAAAUCACACAAAAAUUAAACUCAACUUAAUAGAAAUCCACUACAUAAGAGUCAAAUCAACUACAUAAGAGUCAAAUCCACUAAAAUCCCUCAGAAUUGAAGAACUAUGCAAUUUCAUAAAAAUGAAAUUAAAGAAACACAGUAUAAGAUCCUAAUGUUGAGUUUAAGGAGAUUAAAUCCCACAAUAAAAAAUAUAAAAUUAAAAUAGUAAUAAAAAGAGUGAAAGGUAAGGGUGGAAGUACCGCAGUAUUUGAAGGUAACCUUAGCUUGAGCGAGAAAAGAAGAGAGGAAGAGGAUUGAGAAGGAUAGAAUAAGGUAGAGGUUGGGAAGAGAGUGAAAUGCCAUCGAUUGCACGAAGAUGAAGAAGAAGAAGAAGAACAACGGAGAGAG